rnacentral:lncRNA from 1 species
GUGGACUCUGCAAGCAAAUGAAUCAAGUGAAGUCAGCUGGUCAAAAGGGAUCAAAGCUGGUCGGUCAUGCAUUCAGAAGCACGUUCAAAGUCUAUGAUGUACGAUGAGCACGCGGAUUUCUAACCCUUUUAAAAUACCAGACGAUGUGGACGCUUUAUCUUCUUCUUCACGACAAAUAUGAAGUUUUUUCAGCACAAAACACAUUUUUGGUGGGGUUCGUGUUGUUUAUUCUUUAGCUUUCUAUGUUGUGUCGUGUGUACUAUUGUUUUUCUGUUUUUUUCAUUUUAGCCAUGGGUUGUCAGUUUGUUUUAGAUUUAUGAGUUUGACUGUCCCUUUGGUAUCUUUCGUCCCUCUUUUAACACUAUUACUUUAAGGGCAUACGAUACAGUUUUGAACCUGUAUUUACAGUUGGAUGAAAAUU